rnacentral:misc_RNA from 1 species
AUAAAAAGGGAUUCUGUAAUGGCCGUGACAGUUCUGGUGAAUUAUCUGGAAGAUUGCAAGUUCUGGAAUUUUGUGAUGAUUGUAAUGAUGGUGGGAGCGGAGAUUUUCAAAAUUAUAUGAAUCCCACAAACUGUGAAUCAAUAGGAUCUGAUUUAACUUCCCAUUCUGUGUCAUCUGAUAUUUUUUCUGGAAAAGAGGAGGAUUGUGUUGAAUCAACUCCAUGCCAUGUCAAAAGGCCAUCAACUGUAACUUUCCGUGACCCUGAAUCAAGCAGUGUAGUUCUGGAGGAGUCUGAUGUAUCUGAGGUUGAAAGUAACAUCCCUGCAAGGCAAACGGCUGUAAGGCCUGGAAAGAAAGGGACAUGCUAUCGAUGCUUGAAAGGAAAUAGGUUUACUGAGAAGGAGAUUUGCAUUGUGUGUGGUGCAAAGUAUUGUUGUAAGUGCGUGUUGAGAGCAAUGGGAUCAAUGCCAGAAGGAAGAAAAUGUGUAUCUUGCAUUGGUAAAAAAAUCGAUGAGUCAAAACGAAAGACUUUGGGGAAAUGUUCUCGCAUGCUGAAGCAACUGUUGCCUGAGUUGGAAGUUGAACAAGUAAUGAGUUCUGAAAGAUCCUGUGAAGCAAAUCAACUACCACCGGAGCUUGUUUACGUAAAUAGUCAGCGUCUUUCCCCACAGGAGCUAUUCCUAUUGCUGACCUGCCGGUACCCACCAAAAAAGUUAAAACCAGGAUUCUAUUGGUAUGAUAAAGUCUCUGGUUUUUGGGGAAAGGAAGGAAAGAAGCCUUGCCAAAUAAUUAGUCCCCAGUUGAGCAUUGGGGGUCACAUGCAUCAAGAUGCAAGUAAAGGAAACACAAAUAUUUUGAUAAAUAAUCGUGAGAUCACCAAAACAGAGUUAUUAAUGCUGCAGAUGAUAGGAGUGAAAUGUGAAGGAACAACUCACUUUUGGGUUAGUGCAGAUGGAUCCUAUCAGGAAGAGGGAAUGAAUAAUGUAAAAGGGAAAAUAUGGGACACGAAAAAAGCAAAGUUAAUUUGCACUGCGUUGUCUUUGCCAACUCCCCCUGGUUCUGCCAGUCCUAGUGGAGAAGAAGGGAAUAGUGUUGCCCCAAAAAGCUUUGACCAGAAAAUACUUUAUAAACUUCUUCUUGUUGGCUAUGGAAAAUCUGGCACGAGUACCAUAUUCAAACAGGCAAAAAUUGUCUACAAUAUUCCAUUUUCUGAAGAUGAGCGUCAAAAUAUUAAGCUCAUGAUCCAAAGUAAUUUAUAUGGUUAUCUGGGUAUAUUGCUUGAGGAGCGUGAACGAUUUGAAGAAGAAAGUUUAAUUAUGAAGAAGCGACAUAUCAUUGACCAAUGUAGUUCUUCAGAUACUGCAGGUCAGGUUGGGGAUAAAACAAUCUAUUCUAUUGGCCCCAGAUUGAAAGCUUUCUCGGAUUGGCUUCUAAAGAUAAUGGUAUCUGGUAAUUUGGAAGCCAUAUUCCCAGCUGCCACCCGUGAAUAUGCACAAUAUGUUGAGGAUUUGUGGAAUGAUGCAGCCAUCCAAGCCACAUAUAGCCGCAGGAAUGAAUUUGAAUCACUACCUAGAUCUGCCACUUAUUUCCUAGAACGGGCUGUUGAGAUUUCAAAGAAAGACUAUGAGCCUUCCGAUAUGGACAUCUUGUAUGCUGAGGGAAUUACAUCAUCUAAAGGGCUUUCUUC